ACUUGACCAGGGCUACACACGUGCUACAAUGGCCGGUACAAAGAGUUGCGAUACCGCGAGGUGGAGCUAAUCUCAUAAAGCCGGUCUCAGUUCGGAUUGGAGUCUGCAACUCGACUCCAUGAAGUUGGAAUCGCUAGUAAUCGCGGAUCAGCACGCCGCGGUGAAUACGUUCCCGGGCCUU
rnacentral:rRNA from 1 species